UACGUAGGGUGCAAGCGUUGUCCGGAAUUAUUGGGCGUAAAGAGCUCGUAGGCGGUCUGUCGCGUCGGCUGUGAAAACUCGGGGCUCAACUCCGAGCCUGCAGUCGAUACGGGCAGACUAGAGUGCUGUAGGGGAGACUGGAAUUCCUGGUGUAGCGGUGAAAUGCGCAGAUAUCAGGAGGAACACCGGUGGCGAAGGCGGGUCACUGGUCCGGUACUGACGCUGAGGUGCGAAAGCGUGGGGAGCAAACAGG
rnacentral:rRNA from 1 species